ensembl:lncRNA
GAUGUCUUGCAGAAUCCCUUCUAUUGUGCACUGGAAGAUCGCUGGACUUGAAGCAAUUCCAAAUGGUGGCCUGUUUGUCCAAAGCCCAGGCUGACCCCCCACCCCUUCAACCUCUGCAGCAAUGCUGGCAGCACUAUUUCCCAAAGACAACCUCUGGAUAUGACGCUGAGCACGUGCACUCAACUUCUUCUUUGGUGGACCAUGGCGAGGCCUGUUCUGAGUGGAACCUGUCCUGUUAAACCGCUGUAUGGUCUUGGCCACCGUGCUGCAGCUCAGUGUCAGGGUCUUGGCGAUCUUCUUAAAGCCUAGGCCAUCUUUAUGUAGAGCAAGAAUUCUUCUUUUCAGAUCCUCAGAGAGUUCUUUGCCUUGAGGUGCCAUGUUGAACUUCCAGUGACCAGUAUGAGGGAGUUGUCCAAAGCCCGUGGUGGUGGCAGUGCAAGGCGUGUGUGGGGGAGCAGGAGUGGAUCUAAUCACAGCCUGUGAUAUUCGUCUGUGCACACAGGAUGCCUGGUUUCAGGUGAAGUCGUGUGUUCCCUGAUAGUCAAUGAUUGCUGGAGCUCUGGAAAUAGCAGGUGAGAUUGCAGGCCGGAGUCCCGUCGCUGUCCAGGGAACCAAAGUCAACCUCCUCUACUCCUGAGACCACAGUGUGACUGAGAGCCUAGACUACAUGGCUACUUGGAACAUGAACAUGUUGCAGACACAGGAUCUUAUGAAGUCAGCGCAGACAGCCCUGGAAAAGAAGAGUCCGAAAGACGUGCCCUUCUCCAAGCUUUAAAGGAGAAGAUCCAGGGCUGUUGAAGCUGCGGUGGAACUGAGACUUCAUCAUCCACAUAUCUUUAAUUCUUCUUGCUAAGUCUCAGUUUUUUAGUCUUUUUAUUUUUAGACUGGUCAAAAGACUGAUUAGUGGAAGUGAAAUGAUAGAUGAACUUUUAAUUACUUGCUUUAUUAUUCGCAGGUGCUUUGUACAGUAAGACAGGGUAACUAAUACUCAAAAGCUUGUUUUGUGUGUUAACAUGUACAGUAGAUGUACAUAUUUUUUCUGGUGCUGUGUGACUGCAGAAUGUAGUGCAGUUAACACAGUAAAUUUCCUUGGAUGCUCACUUUUAACUCGAGGAGGUCACAUUUUUCCCAGACAUCUUUUUUUAAAUCCGUCAAUCCGUCACCCACACGUCAUUCUGGGGGACGAAGAGGAGGAAGCUGGACAGAUAAAUUUAUUUAUUUAUUUAUCAUUGCUGUGUUUCCUCAAUCCAGUGCAGAAAGAAGAAAAACAACACAACUGAUUUAAAAUAAAAAUAUAGAAAACAAUCUAAUGUAAGGUUCUGAUCCGGUUUGCUUUCAGCAGGAAGGCUGUCCUCUUUCCUGUUGCUCUUUCUCUUCUAUUAGUCCAUUUGUCAAGUCUGAGUCGGUUUGAUUUGUUUCGAGACGAUUCGGAGUCAAAUAAUUUUCUAGUGAGAGUCGCACACUUCCAAACGAACUAGACUGAGAUGAGUAUUUGAUUCUCACUAGAAAGUGAUUCGACUCUGAAUCAACUCGAAAUGAAUCAGUCAAACUGAUUCAGACUCUAUAAAAGGACUAUGAGAUGUGAUUAAGAUAUAUAUUCCAAUGUUUUGCUUUACAAUUCCACUGUGUGUGUGUGUGUGUGUGUGUGUGCGUGUGCGCGCGCGCGCACGUGUGUUUUUCAGGAGAACGAGAAACUCUGACACAAGAGUACAUCCUGACCAUUGGUACUGUGUACACAUCAACAUACACACACGUCUCCAUGCUGGACAUCUCAGGAGCUUUCACACACAGUGCUAGGAAUAUCCCGGGACAGAGAAACGCACCUCCUAAGUGAGCGAGUUUAGCGUCAACCGGUGAAAUUUGCUGUAGCGUGAACACUUCGCCUCUAAAUGAUCUUUCGAGGCAGCUUCUUCAUCACUACCUGCUCCGUUUGACUAAAAAAUGUAACGACUGGUUUCAAAAAGUCACAAUGUCUUCAGUUCAUGUGAUUUUACUGUUUAAUUUAAACAGGAAAUGUGAAAUAUUUUUUUCCUUUGUUUCCUCUACUGUCUUUUUGCUGUGAUCUUGAACACAGUUGUAAUUUAAAAAAAAAUAAUAAAUAAAUGAUCAUUCUAUUCUUUCUCACUUUCCUUGUCCUAAUUGUCCUGUAUCUGUUAAAUCCGUUUAAUCUCUGGUCUUUCUGUCUGUAUGAACACUUGUAGAAAUGACUUGUAGUCCAUAUUUUUAAAUGAUUCGUGAU